rnacentral:tRNA from 1 species
UGCGGGAUCGUCUAAUGGUAGGACAUCACUCUUUGGAAGUGAGUAUUCUAGGUUCGAUUCCUAGUCCCGCAA